rnacentral:rRNA from 1 species
AUUGAACGCUGGCGGCAGGCCUAACACAUGCAAGUCGAGCGGUAACAGAGAGAAGCUUGCUUCUCUGCUGACGAGCGGCGGACGGGUGAGUAAUACUUGGGAAUUUGCCUUUAGGCGGGGGACAACCACGGGAAACUGUGGCUAAUACCGCAUAAUGUCUACGGACCAAAGUGGGGGACCUUCGGGCCUCACACCUAAAGAUGAGCCCAAGCGGGAUUAGCUAGUUGGUGGGGUAAAGGCUCACCAAGGCGACGAUCCCUAGCUGUUCUGAGAGGAUGAUCAGCCACACUGGGACUGAGACACGGCCCAG